GAUGAACGCUGGCGGCGUGCCUAAUACAUGCAAGUCGAGCGAACAGACGAGGAGCUUGCUCCUCUGACGUUAGCGGCGGACGGGUGAGUAACACGUGGAUAACCUACCUAUAAGACUGGGAUAACUUCGGGAAACCGGAGCUACUACCGGAUAAUAUAUUGAACCGCAUGGUUCAAUAGUGAAAGACGGUUUUGCUGUCACUUAUAGAUGGAUCCGCGCCGCAUUAGCUAGUUGGUAAGGUAACGGCUUACCAAGGCGACGAUGCGUAGCCGACCUGAGAGGGUGAUCGGCCACACUGGAACUGAGACACGGUCCAGACUCCUACGGGAGGCAGCAGUAGGGAAUCUUCCGCAAUGGGCGAAAGCCUGACGGAGCAACGCCGCGUGAGUGAUGAAGGUCUUCGGAUCGUAAAACUCUGUUAUUAGGGAAGAACAAAUGUGUAAGUAACUAUGCACGUCUUGACGGUACCUAAUCAGAAAGCCACGGCUAACUACGUG
rnacentral:rRNA from 1 species